rnacentral:rRNA from 1 species
UACGUAGGGUGCAAGCGUUGUCCGGAAUUAUUGGGCGUAAAGAGCUCGUAGGUGGCGGGUCACGUCGGGUGUGAAAGCCCGGGGCUUAACCCCGGGUCUGCAUUCGAUACGGGUCUGCUGGGGUCCGGCAGGGGAGACUGGAAUUCCUGGUGUAGCGGUGAAAUGCGCAGAUAUCAGGAGGAACACCGGUGGCGAAGGCGGGUCUCUGGGCCGGUACCGACGCUGAGGAGCGAAAGCGUGGGGAGCGAACAGG